GGGGGUGUGGUGUAAGCAGGCAGCACAGCUGGCUCCAGACCAGCUGAUCAGGGUUCAAAUCCCUGCAUCCCCACCA
rnacentral:tRNA from 1 species